rnacentral:rRNA from 1 species
GAUGAACGCUGGCGGCGUGCCUAAUACAUGCAAGUCGAGCGAACAGACGAGGAGCUUGCUCCUUUGACGUUAGCGGCGGACGGGUGAGUAACACGUGGAUAACCUACCUAUAAGACUGGGAUAACUUCGGGAAACCGGAGCUAAUACCGGAUAACAUGUUGAACCGCAUGGUUCAACAGUGAAAGACGGUCUUGCUGUCACUUAUAGAUGGAUCCGCGCCGCAUUAGCUAGUUGGUAAGGUAACGGCUUACCAAGGCAACGAUGCGUAGCCGACCUGAGAGGGUGGUCGGCCACACUGGAACUGAGACACGGUCCAGACUCCUACGGGAGGCAGCAGUAGGGAAUCUUCCGCAAUGGGCGAAAGCCUGACGGAGCAACGCCGCGUGAGUGAAGAAGGUCUUCGGAUCGUAAAACUCUGUUAUUAGGGAAGAACAAAUGUGUAAGUAACUAUGCACGUCUUGACGGUACCUAAUCAGAAAGCCACGGCUAACUACGUG